CCCCCCGGGUCUCACCUGUUGGAUUUCCCUCCCCUGAGAGCUGACGGUGUCGCGCAGGUGCCGGCGCUCCGCGUCCGAGGACUGCAGCUCCAGGCGGGAUGGAGCUGUUGAAGCCUUCAGCCUGCUGCAGCUUGUGCUCCUGCUCCUCCACCUCCGAGUGAGGCCAUCCUGAAUCGCUCCAGCAGGAGACCGUUCUUCUCGCCUUCGUGUUCAUCAGCUUCUCUAUUCGGGACACUUCAGAAAUGUAAGAGUGGACCCUCAUCUUCAGCUCAUCCUUCUCGUGCAGCGCCUCCUCCAUCUCCACGUGCACGGCCUGCACAAACACAGCAGGAGGUUCACUCCUCCCAUCACAUGACAUGUCAUGUAGCUGACGCUUUUAUCCACAGGAGAUGUCCUGAUGUCUUCAGAGACCUCCUUCCACCGUUUAGGAGCAGGACAGCAGAGAGUGGAGAUCUAGUCGAGUGUUUUGCUCUCAGUGAGGAGGAACGAGCGGCUUCUCUUGGUAUACGAGCAGCAGAGUUCGCCCUCUAUUCCCCCGCGUGGCACCUACUUGGUUCUCUCUGGUCAUGGUAGCCAGGUCGUCUUGCAGCCGGCGGUUCUCUCUCACGGUGAUGUCUUUGUCUCGCCGGAGUCCGGCCAGCUCCUCGUGACCCGCGUCCAGCUGCCUCCUCAUGCUGGCGAUCUCCCUCUCGCGGCCGAGCAGCGCCUCCUGCAGCUGGCUGAGGGGUCACAGCGUUACCGCCGGGCCCCGGUGGGGCAGAGGGUCGCGGCUUUAGGAGCACGGUACUCACGCUAGGGAGGCGUCCAUGUGUGUGACGGCGAGCCUCGCGUCUCUGAGGGUCUGCUCCUGUGUGGACACAGCGGCGUUACGCCUCGUUAGGAGAUGUCUUCUAGUCUUUAAUCUUAACCCUAUUCUCAGUGUUCCACAUGUGACUGAAGGGGUUCUUAGUCGUUAUUCCACUAAAGGACGAGACAUUUCCAGCGUUUGGGUUCAUUUUCAUAACAUGUCCACCUUUUGUUUCCCUGUAGUGAAAAGUCUUUAACUUAUGUGACAAUACUGACUUGAUUUGACGACAAGUUAUGAAGCGUCACAUUAACUUGAGAAUGUUCGUCUGCACAGAGAGGAGCCGCGGCCCCGUGAGGAGGAGACAUCGUAGACACGCCAGAGGACAAAUGACCUUUAACCAUCUGGGUGAGGCCGGUCGGCGGUCGCUACCUUUUUAGAGAGCUCCUCCUGGAGAGCCACCAGUCUCUCCGUCUUCUCAUCCACCUCGUCCUGCAAAGCGUCCUUCUCUCUGUCCAGAGCGGACACAGACCUCUGGAGAGCAGCCACGUCCUCUUUGUGCUCGGAGCCCUGCUGACUCAGCUCCCCUGUGAGACCCAACGGAAAUCCAUCCAACGGCCCCGAAGCAAAAAGAACUGCGAGUGGGCCGACCGACAGCACACUUACGCGUCGCCUCCUCCAGCUGCCGGAUGUGCUGACGUGCAGCAAGCAGCUCGUUGGCCUUCACAGAGAGCCGGCGCUGAGUGUCAGACAGCGACUGCUCCAUCUGCUCCUGCAGCAGCC
ensembl:lncRNA